AGAACGAACGCUGGCGGCAUGCCUAAUACAUGCAAGGUCGAACGAACUCUUCGGAGUUAGUGGCGCACGGGUGCGUAACGCGUGGGAAUCUGCCCGUUGGGUUCGGAAUAACAGUUGGAAACGACUGCUAAUACCGGAUGAUGACGAAAGUCCAAAGAUUUAUCGCCCAGGGAUGAGCCCGCGUAGGAUUAGCUAGUUGGUGAGGUAAAGGCUCACCAAGGCGACGAUCCUUAGCUGGUCUGAGAGGAUGAUCAGCCACACUGGGACUGAGACACGGCCCAGACUCCACGGGAGCAGCAGUAGGGAAUAUUGGACAAUGGGCGAAAGCCUGAUCCAGCAAUGCCGCGUGAGUGAUGAAGGCCUUAGGUUGUAAAGCUCUUUACCGAGAUGAUAAUGACAGUAUCGGAGAAUAAGCCCCGGCUAACGUCCGUGCCAGCAGCCGC
rnacentral:rRNA from 1 species